AUUGCUUCUUGGUCUUUUGGCUAAGAUCAAGUGUAGUAUCUGUUUUUAACAGUUUAGUAUCUGAGGACAAUACAUUAAACAGACUUUUGGACCUGGCGGAUGGAAGAGGAGCUUGCUCCGUCCACUCCCGCAUCAACCUGGAAUUGCGGUACCUCCAGGAGAGGUGCAAGAUCU
ensembl:snRNA U2 U2 spliceosomal RNA